UACGUAGGGGGCUAGCGUUGUCCGGAAUCAUUGGGCGUAAAGAGCGUGUAGGCGGCCCGGUAAGUCCGCUGUGAAAGUCGGGGGCUCAACCCUCGGAUGCCGGUGGAUACUGCGGAGCUAGAGUACGGAAGAGGCGAGUGGAAUUCCUGGUGUAGCGGUGGAAUGCGCAGAUAUCAGGAGGAACACUAAUAGCGAAGGCAGCUCGCUGGGACGUUACUGACACUGAGGCGCGAAAGCGUGGGGAGCGAACAGG
rnacentral:rRNA from 1 species